AAGUCGUAACAAGGUUUCCGUAGGUGAACCCCCCCGUGAACGUACAUUCCUUCUCCGCUUACAGAAAAUUGGUUGCAAUCCCUGGUAAAUCAUCGCCAAACAGUGUUGAUUCAGGGACUUCUAACACGUAAGUGUUUAACCCAGAUAUCCCAAGGGUUGAGUGCGCUUUCGAUUUGCAAAAAUGAACGUAAUCGUUGUGAAAGUGUUCAACCUGAUUAUUUUUAGUAGGAAGUGUACGAGAUGCUGUCAGGUAGACUGCUUUAACGAGCGGGUACCAGUAGGCCGACACGGCCGGUAUCGGACACGUCCCUCUUGACCCCUUGAAACGAAGGUAUGAUUUUACGAAAGGUCAAGUACUAACUGAACAACUGUUAACAAUGGAUAUCUUGGUUCUC
rnacentral:misc_RNA from 1 species